UUAAGUUAUUAAGGGCGCACGGUGGAUGCCUUGGCACUAGAAGCCGAUGAAGGACGUUACUAACGACGAUAUGCUUUGGGGAGCUGUAAGUAAGCUUUGAUCCAGAGAUUUCCGAAUGGGGAAACCCAGCAUGAGUUAUGUCAUGUUAUCGAUAUGUGAAUACAUAGCAUAUCAGAAGGCACACCCGGAGAACUGAAACAUCUUAGUACCCGGAGGAAGAGAAAGAAAAUUCGAUUCCCUUAGUAGCGGCGAGCGAAACGGGAAGAGCCCAAACCAACAAGCUUGCUUGUUGGGGUUGUAGGACACUCUAUACGGAGUUACAAAGGACGACAUUAGACGAAUCAUCUGGAAAGAUGAAUCAAAGAAGGUAAUAAUCCUGUAGUCGAAAAUGUUGUCUCUCUUGAGUGGAUCCUGAGUACGACGGAGCACGUGAAAUUCCGUCGGAAUCUGGGAGGACCAUCUCCUAAGGCUAAAUACUCUCUAGUGACCGAUAGUGAACCAGUACCGUGAGGGAAAGGUGAAAAGCACCCCGGAAGGGGAGUGAAAUAGAACCUGAAACCGUGUGCUUACAAGUAGUCAGAGCCCGUUAAUGGGUGAUGGCGUGCCUUUUGUAGAAUGAACCGGCGAGUUACGAUUUGAUGCAAGGUUAAGCAGUAAAUGUGGAGCCGUAGCGAAAGCGAGUCUGAAUAGGGCGUUUAGUAUUUGGUCGUAGACCCGAAACCAGGUGAUCUACCCUUGGUCAGGUUGAAGUUCAGGUAACACUGAAUGGAGGACCGAACCGACUUACGUUGAAAAGUGAGCGGAUGAACUGAGGGUAGCGGAGAAAUUCCAAUCGAACCUGGAGAUAGCUGGUUCUCUCCGAAAUAGCUUUAGGGCUAGCCUCAAGUGAUGAUUAUUGGAGGUAGAGCACUGUUUGGACGAGGGGCCCCUCUCGGGUUACCGAAUUCAGACAAACUCCGAAUGCCAAUUAAUUUAACUUGGGAGUCAGAACAUGGGUGAUAAGGUCCGUGUUCGAAAGGGAAACAGCCCAGACCACCAGCUAAGGUCCCAAAAUAUAUGUUAAGUGGAAAAGGAUGUGGCGUUGCCCAGACAACUAGGAUGUUGGCUUAGAAGCAGCCAUCAUUUAAAGAGUGCGUAAUAGCUCACUAGUCGAGUGACACUGCGCCGAAAAUGUACCGGGGCUAAACAUAUUACCGAAGCUGUGGAUUGUCCUUUGGACAAUGGUAGGAGAGCGUUCUAAGGGCGUUGAAGCAUGAUCGUAAGGACAUGUGGAGCGCUUAGAAGUGAGAAUGCCGGUGUGAGUAGCGAAAGACGGGUGAGAAUCCCGUCCACCGAUUGACUAAGGUUUCCAGAGGAAGGCUCGUCCGCUCUGGGUUAGUCGGGUCCUAAGCUGAGGCCGACAGGCGUAGGCGAUGGAUAACAGGUUGAUAUUCCUGUACCACCUAUAAUCGUUUUAAUCGAUGGGGGGNGGGGGGACGCAGUAGGAUAGGCGAAGCGUGCGAUUGGAUUGCACGUCUAAGCAGUAAGGCUGAGUAUUAGGCAAAUCCGGUACUCAUUAAGGCUGAGCUGUGAUGGGGAGAAGACAUUGUGUCUUCGAGUCGUUGAUUUCACACUGCCGAGAAAAGCCUCUAGAUAGAAAAUAGGUGCCCGUACCGCAAACCGACACAGGUAGUCAAGAUGAGAAUUCUAAGGUGAGCGAGCGAACUCUCGUUAAGGAACUCGGCAAAAUGACCCCGUAACUUCGGGAGAAGGGGUGCUCUUUAGGGUUAACGCCCAGAAGAGCCGCAGUGAAUAGGCCCAAGCGACUGUUUAUCAAAAACACAGGUCUCUGCUAAACCGUAAGGUGAUGUAUAGGGGCUGACGCCUGCCCGGUGCUGGAAGGUUAAGAGGAGUGGUUAGCUUCUGCGAAGCUACGAAUCGAAGCCCCAGUAAACGGCGGCCGUAACUAUAACGGUCCUAAGGUAGCGAAAUUCCUUGUCGGGUAAGUUCCGACCCGCACGAAAGGCGUAACGAUUUGGGCACUGUCUCAACGAGAGACUCGGUGAAAUCAUAGUACCUGUGAAGAUGCAGGUUACCCGCGACAGGACGGAAAGACCCCGUGGAGCUUUACUGUAGCCUGAUAUUGAAAUUCGGCACAGCUUGUACAGGAUAGGUAGGAGCCUUUGAAACGUGAGCGCUAGCUUACGUGGAGGCGCUGGUGGGAUACUACCCUAGCUGUGUUGGCUUUCUAACCCGCACCACUUAUCGUGGUGGGAGACAGUGUCAGGCGGGCAGUUUGACUGGGGCGGUCGCCUCCUAAAAGGUAACGGAGGCGCUCAAAGGUUCCCUCAGAAUGGUUGGAAAUCAUUCAUAGAGUGUAAAGGCAUAAGGGAGCUUGACUGCGAGACCUACAAGUCGAGCAGGGUCGAAAGACGGACUUAGUGAUCCGGUGGUUCCGCAUGGAAGGGCCAUCGCUCAACGGAUAAAAGCUACCCCGGGGAUAACAGGCUUAUCUCCCCCAAGAGUUCACAUCGACGGGGAGGUUUGGCACCUCGAUGUCGGCUCAUCGCAUCCUGGGGCUGUAGUCGGUCCCAAGGGUUGGGCUGUUCGCCCAUUAAAGCGGUACGCGAGCUGGGUUCAGAACGUCGUGAGACAGUUCGGUCCCUAUCCGUCGUGGGCGUAGGAAAUUUGAGAGGAGCUGUCCUUAGUACGAGAGGACCGGGAUGGACAUACCUCUGGUGUACCAGUUGUCGUGCCAACGGCAUAGCUGGGUAGCUAUGUGUGGACGGGAUAAGUGCUGAAAGCAUCUAAGCAUGAAGCCCCCCUCAAGAUGAGAUUUCCCAACUUCGGUUAUAAGAUCCCUCAAAGAUGAUGAGGUUAAUAGGUUCGAGGUGGAAGCAUGGUGACAUGUGGAGCUGACGAAUACUAAUCGAUCGAAGACUUAAUCAA
rnacentral:rRNA from 1 species